GUGUUUUUAUAAAAANCAAAUGAAUGCUNUACAAUGCGCCUUAGGCUUUUUGGNCUUUAAAUAANAUACAACUUUCAACAACGGAUCUCUUGGCUCUCGCAUCGAUGAAGAACGCAGCGAAAUGCGAUAAGUAAUGUGAAUUGCAGAAUUCAGUGAAUCAUCGAAUCUUUGAACGCACCUUGCGCUCCUUGGCAUUCCGAGGAGCAUGCCUGUUUGAGUGUCAUUANNUUCUCAAUCCCUACAAUCUUGUGUUGUUUGGUGAAUUGGAUUAUGGGGGCUUGCUGGCCUUGUUCAGCUCCCCUUAAAAGCAUUAGCAGGACAUUAUGCCAUCUGUGCUUUGUAUGAUAAUUAUCUAUACACUGUACUGAUUGNGCACAACUGCUUCCCACUGUCAUUUCUGACAUUUGACCAAUUUGACCUCAAAUCAGGUANGGACUACCCGCUGAACU
rnacentral:rRNA from 1 species